rnacentral:rRNA from 1 species
UGGGGAAUUUUGGACAAUGGGCGAAAGCCUGAUCCAGCAAUGCCGCGUGUGUGAAGAAGGCCUUCGGGUUGUAAAGCACUUUUGUCCGGAAAGAAAUCCUUGGCUCUAAUACAGUCGGGGGAUGACGGUACCGGAAGAAUAAGCACCGGCUAACUACGUGCCAGCAGCCGCGGUAAUACGUAGGGUGCAAGCGUUAAUCGGAAUUACUGGGCGUAAAGCGUGCGCAGGCGGUUUGCUAAGACCGAUGUGAAAUCCCCGGGCUCAACCUGGGAACUGCAUUGGUGACUGGCAGGCUAGAGUAUGGCAGAGGGGGGUAGAAUUCCACGUGUAGCAGUGAAAUGCGUAGAGAUGUGGAGGAAUACCGAUGGCGAAGGCAGCCCCCUGGGCCAAUACCGACGCUCAUGCACGAAAGCGUGGGGAGCAAAACAGGAUUAGAUACCCUGGUAGUCCACGCCCUAAACGAUGUCAACUAGUUGUUGGGGAUUCAUUUCCUUAGUAACGCAGCUAACGCGUGAAGUUGACCGCCUGGGGAGUACGGUCGCAAGAUUAAAACUCAAAUGAAUUGACGGGGUCAUAGCUGUUUCCU